rnacentral:lncRNA from 1 species
AUGUCUGGUGCAUGUCAAGUACAUGUCCGCCGGGUCCCUGCUGUGCUCUGCUGGGUUUGUGCUGGGUCAGGGGGCAGGUGUGGAAUAGAAGCUGGACACAGGUGCUUUAGUAGAUCUGGGGGUCACUUGCCUAGAAGUCGGCUGCAAGAACACAGGCGGGUGUCUGGUGGACGCGUGGGGGUGGCAUGGGGCUACCUCGCCCAGCUUGUGUGCGGACUUUGUCCCUCAGGCUCGAGGUUGGGGAGCGCCUCUGCUGGACCCGUGACUGUGGGGGGAGAGCCUGGCCCCGUCGUGUUCUCGUCGUGCGCCCUCCUGGCUCCCACACCCCCUCAGGACUUCAGGGAAUGUGCCUGUGACAGAUGCUCGCCCGGCAGUACACGCGUGUUAGCGUGUGUCAGAGCUUUAGUGCAGAGAAUGAGAGCCUGCGAGAUUGAGGGUGGCGAGCAGGGCAGACGAUGCUCCCGGUGGGGCAUCUGCCCCGGAGGUGCACACACACACUCAUACCUGCUCACAUAUAUGCACACACAUACACACACUCAUACCCGCUCACAGCAUGCUCUCACACACAUGUACACACAUGUUCACAUCUUCUCUCACACAUGGUCACCUAUACACAUGCACACACAUGUACACGUGUAUGAUCAUACCUGCUCACACACGCUCACAUAUAUGCACACACAUGCACGAUGCUCAUGUGUGCUCUCACACGUAUGUAUAUUCACACACGUACACACAUGUACACACUCAUAUCCGCUUACACAUGGUCACAUAUGCACAUGUACACACAAUGCUCACAUGUACACAUACACGUGCACAUACAUGCUCAUACCUGCUCAAACAAUGCUCACAUAUACCCACAUGCAUACACAUACACACAUACACAUGCUCAUACCUGCUCACACGUGUGCUCACAUAUACACAUACACAUGCUCAUACCUGCUCACACGUGUGCUCACAUAUACACAUACACACAUACACACGCUCAUACCUGCUCACACGUGUGCUCACAUAUACACAUACACACAUACACACGCUCAUACCUGCUCACACGUGUGCUCACAUAUACACACAUACACACAUACACAUGCUCAUACCUGCUCACACGUGUGCUCACACAUACACACAUACACAUGCUCAUACCUGCUCACACGUGUGCUCACAUAUACACACAUACACACGCUCAUACCUGCUCUCACACAUGCUCACAUAUACACACAUACACACAUACACACGCUCAUACCUGCUCUCACACGUGCUCACAUAUACAUGCAUGGAUACACACAUACAUGCUCAUACCUAUUUGCACACACAGACAUAUACACAUACAUACAGUGCACACAAUGCUCCUACCUGCUCACAUGGUCACACACACACAUCACAUAUACUCGUACAUACAUGUUCACAAUCACACACACUCACACACAUGUUCAUGUCUGCUCGCAUAUACACAUACUCACACAUACACAUACACCUGCUCACACAUGA